ACACAUGCAAGUCGAGGGGCAUCAUGUAGGUGGCUUGCCACCUAUGAUGGCGACCGGCGCACGGGUGAGUAACGCGUAUCCAACCUGCCCCUUUCCCCGGCACAGCCCGUAGAAAUGCGGAUUAAUGCCGGAUGCGGUCGCGUGACGGCAUCAGAGCGCGACGAAAGGUUUUUUCCGGAAAGGGAUGGGGAUGCGUCCGAUUAGCUUGACGGCGGGGUGAAGGCCCACCGUGGCGACGAUCGGUAGGGGCCCUGAGAGGGGAGCCCCCCCACAUUGGGACUGAGACACGGCCCAAACUCCUACGGGAGGCAGCAGUGAGGAAUAUUGGUCAAUGGGCGGAAGCCUGAACCAGCCAAGUAGCGUGAGGGACGACGGCCCUACGGGUUGUAAACCUCUUUUGCGCGGGGACAAAGUUCGCCAUGCGUGGCGUUUUGCGGGUACCGCGCGAAUAAGGACCGGCUAAUUCCGUGCCAGCAGCCGCGGUAAUACGGAAGGUCCUGGCGUUAUCCGGAUUCAUUGGGUUUAAAGGGAGCGCAGGCCGCCUGUUAAGCGUGCCGUGAAAUGUGCCGGCUCAACCGGGGCACUGCGGCGCGAACUGGCGGGCUUGAGUGCGCGGAAGGCGGGCGGAAUUCGUGGUGUAGCGGUGAAAUGCUUAGAUAUCACGAGGAACUCCGAUUGCGAAGGCAGCCCGCCGCAGCGCAACUGACGCUGAGGCUCGAAAGCGCGGGUAUCGAACAGGAUUAGAUACCCUGGUAGUCCGCGCGGUAAACGAUGGACGCCCGCCGUGGGG
rnacentral:rRNA from 1 species